rnacentral:rRNA from 1 species
GACAGAGGGGGCAAGCGUUGCUCGGAAUUACUGGGCGUAAAGGGCGCGUAGGCGGAAUGGCAAGUCGGUCGUGAAAUCCUUCGGCUCAACCGAAGAACGUCGAUCGAAACUGCCGUUCUUGAGGAUUGCAGAGGAGACUGGAAUUCCCGGUGUAGCGGUGAAAUGUGUAGAGAUCGGGAGGAACACCGGUGGCGAAGGCGGGUCUCUGGGCAAUUCCUGACGCUGAGGCGCGAAAGCGUGGGGAGUGAACAGG